UUUCUCCUUGACCCGGUCAGAAGCCUCAAGGCCUCCCCAGCCCCUGGCCGUCUCCCAGGCACAGGGCUGAGCCUCGUGGGCUCCGAGCCACGGGCUUUGUGCCCGGAGCCUCCACCCGCAGCUCCUCCACACUCUGCAGCGCCCUGGCCCACCUGGGUGAACCCACAUCUGGGGUGAUGGUGUUUGGGGUGUGAUGUGGCCUGAAACAAGACAACAGAGGCCUCAAAGCCUCCCCCUUAUCCAGGUUCACCCUCUACCUUCUGUUGGGACCCAGAGGGAACCCCCCUCUUGUUUCACAAAAGGAAAUUGAAUCUAAAGAAAGGGCUUCUCCAGGGUCAAGACUGGAACCCAGGUCUCCAGGGUUUUUCUGUUUUUUUCCUGUGGCCACUCUUAGCUAAACAGCUUCACGGCUGGGUCAGAUUACAGGGGCGGGACAUGGAAUGCGGGAGAGGGACUUGGGAUCAUCCCUAAGUGACCCUCAGAGGCCCCCGGGGGGCUGGAGCCGAGGGAUCCGAGAGCAGACAGCGGCCUGUGGAGGGAGGUGCUCCCAACCCCAGGGAGGAGCAAGCCCGCCAAACUCCUGACACCGCAGGCGGCUUCCCCGCACCAGUGCUAGCGGCUCCAGCCAGAAGAAUCCCAGGAAAGGGCUCUGAUUCGCUUUGCUCCAGUCAGGACCUGCUCCCCGACCAAUCAAGAGCAGCCUGAGGGUGGUGUCCGACAAGAACAGAUGAAGACUUGGAGACCGCAAGGCGCGGAGAGACUAUGGGACGAUACAGCAGGAAAACGGGAGCUGGGGCCAACCCAGGUCUGCAGUUGCCCAUUGCACCACGGCUUCCUCUCUACAGUCUCUUGCUUAGGGUGCUGAGCAUCUUCUUGCAAGAUCGAAAGGCCCUGAAGGCAGAGACCACACUGGAUUUUUCCUCCUGCCGGAGCGCAGAGUUUCUCUAAGUUGGGUCUGGGCAGAUCCCUAGUUGGCUAUCGCCUGGGGAGUUUGCAUGGGGAAAGAGAAACAGGCAACAAAACUACUUGUGGCAUAAACUUCACUGUGUGUGAUGUAAGGUGGAUGAUGAUGAUUCACAGAAAUUCUUAGUAAUCACUACCUCCAAAGGUUGCAUAUGAGCAAUAAGGCCCAUCCUAGCCAGUUCACCUUGACCGAUAUAUUUUCAUAUCAUUUGCCUGUUAGAGUUUACAUACGUUAAAUUUGUAUUUCUUUGUUACUAUGGUAUUGCAUUAUAUCCCCAGAGCUGUAAUACAUUGCUCAAAGCGAUUCACUCAAGCAUGAACGUGGGGUUAAAAGGAGACAUGUAAAUUCUCCAACUCUGAAUAAUGUUGUAGACAGAAAUAUAGCACCAAGAGAGUAACACAGAUGUGGAGUGGGUCUGCACGCUGUGGGCCAGCCACUCCACAGGUGCAGUGCUGCACAAAGAGCUGGAAGAGGAAAGGGCAAGUAGGAAGGGUGACAGGCAGGAGAGGACAUUGGUUUUAUUGGCACCCCCAGCCUGGCUCCCAGUUCCCUUGGGAGUGUCAGGGGCUUGUCUUCAAAAAUGGCACCAUGACUUCUCCAGGUAAACCCAUAGGGUUAUUUCUGAAACAAGCAAAAGCUAAUUCUGUCCAGCACAAGACUGAUUAAUUUUGACACUAAAGGCAGAGAAGAUGUCCAAAUGGUAGACACCAUUCAACACUCCCUUCCUUCUAGCAAGAGAAGAGAAACAGCUCACACGGUUGCUGAGAAGGCGGGAGAACCUGCCUUUAGGCUGCUGAAUUGUACUCCCCACACCAGAUUCAGAAUUUGAAGUCCUAACCCCUAGUACCUCAGAAUGUGAUUGUAUCUGGAGGCAGGGCCCUUAUGAAGACGUAAUUAAGGUAAAAUGAGGUCAUUGGCAGGGGGCCUAAUCCAUAUGACCGGAGACCUUACAAGAUUAGGACGCAGACACACACAAAGACCCCGGGAGAAGUCUCAGAAGAAACCAGCCCUGCCCACACCUGGGUCUCAGACUUCUGGCCUCCAGACUGUGAGACAAUGAAUUCCUGUUGUUUAUGCCCCUAGCCUGCGGUAUCUCAAUAUGGCAGCGCUGGGAUGCAAGUACUUUGCCCAAGACAGAUUGUCAGAUACUAUGUUCAGAAAGGACUACAUGCAGUUGGCAGAAUUCCUCAAUCAGAAGACAAGGUUAGAGGUCACAGGGCAUCAGCUGGACACUACGUGGAAAGGCAAGGGGACCCAUGCAAGGGGACCAGUGGGCAUUUUUGACAUUGGGACAGACCACUGAUGCCUCAGCUCUGGCCUCCACGCGGCGUGUAUGUGAAGGCGGAGGGCCUCUUUGCACUGUUGCUGAGAAUCCAAGCUCAGGAAAGAGAUGGUGUGUGUGUGUGUGUGUGUGUGUGCACAUGUGCUUAUCGACUGCCCCACUGCCUUGGCAGAGAGAGGAAAAGCCACUUUGACAUCAGUUUCGAGGAAGCACCAAAUGCCUGGGCAGCGUCCCUGCAAUAACAGAGGUUGUGCACAAAUGUCUUUCCACCCUUUCCGUUCAGCACAGAGACCUCUUAAGGGUCAACAGUAUGCUCCUCGCAGAGAAGUAAAGGGAGUUAUGAAGGGAACUAAAUUGCCACCAGGAGCAAUGUCUCUUUUUGGUGCGCUGGAACCGCCCACGGAUCCAAGCCGUAAAAGGCUCCCAUGGGAAACUGGGAAAUCAGAGGAGUGAUCUUUUUUUUCUUCCUGACGCUGUUAAUUCUUAUAAAAGUGCGUUCUCUGAUUUCUAAUGAUUUGCCAACAUGACAUUUCUUAACACUAUCGUGUUUAGCAUGAAUUUGUCUCAUGGACAACCAUCACAAUUCUGAUGUAAAGACCAAGCCACAAGGAAGAAUUGUGGUGCAAACAGCUCAGUCACUGACACUGGCUUUUCCCCAAACACUUCAUUAUACUGACAUCAAAAUAAUCACAGUUGUAGCUAACACUUAGCAAAGCCUUCCUUCCUAUGUGCCAUGCAUUGUUUCAAGCACCUGUUUUCACACUCAUUUGCUCGUUACAAUGAGUGUUUGAGGUGGGCUUUUCUGCCCUGGUUUCCAGAUGAGGAAGCAAGCCCACUGGUAUGAAGAGACAUGCUCACAGCCACGCAGCUGCCAGGUGGGGACCCAGGACAGCCUCCCAGCCAUCUGGCUCUACCAGCAUGACUGUUACCGCUUCAUUUUAUUAUCAGGCUGAGGAUAGAAUCCAUCAUGCAAACCAUUAGCCAUAUCUGCAUGCGGUGGCUGAACUAGAAGACACCCUCCCCAAAGCCAAAUGCCACCAAAGAGAGGCUUAGGACUGUGCAGGCCAGGAACAUGCCUGUGUUGGGAGGGCGAUGUGUCGGGGACACAGCACCUGGGGCCACACUGCGGGCAGCCUCCUGGGGGAGCAACCCCAGCCUCUGAGAGCAGAUUUGACCUGAAUGUCCAGACAGGCGCUGUACCAGUCAGGUCUGGACGUGUAGGGCAAGCGGCCAGCAAGGGGGAGCAGGAAACAGAGGCAGGAGAGGACGCUGCUGCCCGCCGGUGGAGUUUCUUCUUCCCCGGGGAAACCUCGGUUUGGCUCUAAGACCUUCCAGUUACAGAAGCGAGCCCGCCCGCAUUACCAAGGACAGUCUCCUUCCCAGAAAGGCAGCCGAUCACUGACAGCAACCGCAUCGACAGAACCCUUCCACAGCGGCGCCUGGGAGAGCGUGUGACUAUCUGGGGACUACUGCCCCGCCAGGGGGACAUAAAAUUGACGAUCACAGGCUACAGGGCAAGCUCAGUGGCCUAUAGAAUUUUCCAGUUCAGUGGAGAUGAUCUGGAAACAUCACCUAUGGUUUGACAUGUACCCUAAAGCCAGGUGAAGAUGUGAUUAAGAAAAGGCUAUCAGCCAUGUGGCUUUUAAAUGAUUACUGUUAUUUUUUUUUUUUGAGA